AAAUUCACUUAUUUUGGGCUUUUGUAAAAUUGGGUCACAUUUUUCGUUUUUGCAGAUUCAGUCCGUUUUUUCAGCAAACUCACCAAAAUAUCCUUAUUACCUUUUCUCUUUCCUCUUUCUCUCUCCUCUUCGUUCCUGUCAUUUUUUUUUUCUCGCCGAAAAAAAAAGCCGGACCGGACCGUCACCUUCUUCUUCACCGUCGCCUCCUUCUUCACCCUCCUUCUUCACCGUCGCCUCCCUCCUCACCCUCCUCUCCACCGCCCGCGACCCCCUCCUC
rnacentral:lncRNA from 1 species